rnacentral:rRNA from 1 species
ACUACAUGAAGCUGGAAUCGCUAGUAAUCGCGAAUCAGCAUGUCGCGGUGAAUACGUUCCCGGGUCUUGUACACACCGCCCGUCACACCAUGGGAGUCAGUAACGCCCGAAGCCGGUGACCCAACCAAGAAUGGAGGGAGCCGUCGAAGGUGGGACCGAUAACUGGGGUGAAGUCGUAACAAGGUAUC